rnacentral:rRNA from 1 species
GAUGAACGCUGGCGGCGUGCCUAAUACAUGCAAGUCGAGCGAACGGACGAGAAGCUUGCUUCUCUGAUGUUAGCGGCGGACGGGUGAGUAACACGUGGAUAACCUACCUAUAAGACUGGGAUAACUUCGGGAAACCGGAGCUAAUACCGGAUGAUAUUUUGAACCGCAUGGUUCAAAAGUGAAAGACGGUCUUGCUGUCACUUAUAGAUGGAUCCGCGCUGCAUUAGCUAGUUGGUAAGGUAACGGCUUACCAAGGCAACGAUGCAUAGCCGACCUGAGAGGGUGAUCGGCCACACGGGAAAUGAGACACGGUCCAGACUCCUAAGGGAGGCAGCAGUAGGGAAUCUUCCGCAAUGGGCGAAAGCCUGACGGAGCAACGCCGCGUGAGUGAUGAAGGUCUUCGGAUCGUAAAACUCUGUUAUUAGGGAAGAACAUAUGUGUAAGUAACUGUGCACAUCUUGACGGUACCUAAUCAGAAAGCCACGGCUAACUACGUG